UACGUAGGGGGCGAGCGUUGUCCGAAGUUACUGGGCGUAAAGCGCGCGUAGGCGGCUGUUUAAGUCCGGCGUGAAAGGUUCAGGGCUCAACCCGAACAGUGCGCUGGAGACUGGAGAGCUUGAGGACGGGAGAGGGAAGCGGAAUUCCGGGUGUAGCGGUGAAAUGCGUAGAUAUCCGGAGGAACACCGAUGGCGAAGGCAGCUUCCUGGCCCGUAUCUGACGCUGAGGUGCGAAAGCGUGGGGAGCGAACGGG
rnacentral:rRNA from 1 species